ensembl:lncRNA
GAGCAAAUAGCCAUCACAGCCGAUACUGAACAAAUGUUCUAUGGGUUCAAGGUCAGAGAGGACCAUCGCAAUUUCUUGCGAUUUUUGUGACACCGAGACAAUGAUCCUGAUAAGGAGAUAAUUGACUUCUGGAUGACUGUACACGUGUUCCGGAACAGCCCGUCACCCGCUGUAGCAACGUAUGAGCUUGAGUCCAACUUAUGACUUCACAAAAUAGCCUCAAAUAGUACUAAGGUCAUGGAGGCCUUUCCUCCAGAAGAACGAGCAAGUGACUUUAAGUAUCUAGAUUUAGGAGCAGACCCCUUGCCCUCCCAACGCAGUCUGGGUGUAAGCUGGGAACUCCAGACUGACAGUUUUACUUUCAGAGUGUCAAGAGAUGUGAAACCAUUCACUCGGAGAGGCAUUCUGUCAACUGUAAAUAGUCUUUAUGAUCCUCUUGGAUUUGCUUCCCCCAUUACAGUGAAAGGCAAGGCACUUGUAAGAGACCUUUCCUUCGAGCAGUAUGAAUGGGACACACCUCUUCCAAAGCAGAAAGAGGCACAGUGGAAAGCAUGGACUGACUCCUUAACUGAGCUGGAACAGAUUCACAUACAGCGAAGAUACGUUCCAGUCUCCAUGUCAUGUUGUAAAACUAUAGACUUGUGUGUUUUCUCAGACGCUUCUAUUAUGGCAAUAGCGGGUGUAGGCUAUUUGCAUGUCUUGGACUCUGAAGGAAAAUGGCAUGUAGGGUUUGUAAUGGGAAAAACAAAGCUGGCCCCUUACCCUAUGCAAACUGUGCCACGCCUGGAGUUGUGCGCCGCAGUCUUGGCAGUUGAACUGGCAGAACUGAUCCAAUCUGAAAUAGAUGUAGAGUUGAAAGCAGUCAGGUUCUAUACAGACAGUCGUUUCGUGCUGGGCUACAUUCACAACAGAUCAAGAAGGUUCUAUACCUAUGUUCUAUACCUAUGAGUAACUCGCAUUCGGAGCUCCACCAAACCAACACAGUGGCAGUACGUGCAAACCGAUGAGAACCCUGCAGACCAUGGAACCAGGCCAAUUCCAGCUGCUUACCUGGCCUCAUCCAGUUGGUUACUU